CCUACGGGUGACAGCAGUGAGGAAUAUUGGUCAAUGGGCGCGAGCCUGAACCAGCCAAGUAGCGUGAAGGAUGACUGCCCUACGGGUUGUAAACUUCUUUUAUACAGGAAUAAAGUGAGGCACGUGUGCCUUUUUGUAUGUACUUUAUGAAUAAGGAUCGGCUAACUCCGUGCCAGCAGCCGCGGUAAUACGGAGGAUCCGAGCGUUAUCCGGAUUUAUUGGGUUUAAAGGGAGCGUAGAUGGGUUGUUAAGUCAGGUGUGAAAGUUUGGGGCUCAACCGUAAAAGUGCAAUUGAUACGGGCAGGCUUGAGUACAGUUGAGGGAGGCGGAAUGCGUGGUGUAGCGGUGAAAUGCGUAGAUAUCACGAAGAACUCCGAUUGCGAAGGCAGAUUACUAAACUGCCACUGACAUUGAUGCUCGAAAGUGUGGGUAUCAAACAGGAUUAGAUACCCGUGUAGUC
rnacentral:rRNA from 1 species